UGGGCAACCUGCCCUCAGCUCUGGGAUAACUCCAAGAAAUUGGUGCUAAUACCGGAUGUGACCGCUGACCGCAUGGUCUGGUGGUGGAAAGAUUCAUCGGCUGAGGAUGGGCCCGCGGCCUAUCAGCUUGUUGGGUGGGGUGAUGGCCUACCAAGGCGACGACGGGUAGCCGGCCUGAGAGGGUGACCGGCCACACGUGGGACUGAGACACGGCCCAGACCUCCGUAGGGAG
rnacentral:rRNA from 1 species